rnacentral:miRNA from 1 species
UGGGUUGGCCAAAAAGUUUGUUCAGGUUUUUCUAUGUUAUGGAAAAACCCAAACAAACACUUUUGCCAGCAACGCAAUAU